rnacentral:rRNA from 1 species
UACUUAGGAAUAUGCCUUUGGGUGGGGGAUAACUAUUGGAAACGAUAGCUAAUACCGCAUAACGUCUUCGGACCAAAGGGGGCUUUUUGGCUCCCGCCCAUUGAGUAGCCUAAGCGAGAUUAGCUUGUUGGUGAGGUAAAGGCUCACCAAGGCGACGAUCUCUAGCUGUUCUGAGAGGAAGAUCAGCCACACUGGGACUGAGACACGGCCCAGACUCCUACGGGAGGCAGCAGUGGGGAAUAUUGCACAAUGGGGGAAACCCUGAUGCAGCCAUGCCGCGUGUGUGAAGAAGGCCUUCGG